UGAGAUUAAAGGUGUGUGGCAUCACCACCAGGUUUUUCACCUUGGUUUUUGAGAUGUCACUCAUUGAACUUAGAACUUGCUGCUUUGCUGAGGCUAGCCAGCCAGCAAACCCCAGGAGCCCACUGGUCUCGACCUCCCCAGCACCAGGGCUACAGACACAGGCCAGGUCACUGUGUGGGUGCUGGGACUCAAGCUCGGGUCUCCCUGCUGCCCAGCAAGCACUCUGCCAACAAACCUGUGCUCAGCCCUAUCCACUUUUCCUCCUUUCUCUUGCCCUUUGACCGCUCUCCUUCCCCUUCAUUCUUUACUCCUCUGCACUCACUCCCCCCACACUUUUUUCCCCAGCUCUCAAACCCAAGGACCUCUAAGUGAGCUGUUCCCAGCCCCCACCCUGGUGCUGUGAGGGUCCCCAGGUUCUGGGAGGGAAGUGGGCCACCAGUGGCCACCAAAGGCCAUGGCAGGAGGCUGAUUACCUGGAGAAUGGCUACCAAGCCAGAGUCCAGGGGUGGGGCAGGGUCUCUGUGACACUCGUUUCUUUUUCUAUUUGUCCUGGAUGCCGGACACUUCCUGGAGGAAUCAGACCUUGAAGGCAGGAAGCAAAGAAUCAGCUGAGAGAGCAUAGAGAGCUGCCCACAGACACAGCGUGCCAUCCGUCCUCUUCAGGCAUCAGCAAUGAAGGCCUCAGCUGACUUCAGUUUUCCUGGUGAAAACAUCGGUCUAACACCUGCAGGACACUGAAGACCAGCAGUUGUGAGGACAGAGGCUUCUUAGACUCACCUACCGGAAGGACCAACACUUCCCAGCACAGAUCAUGUGUGUGCCCGCGCGCGCGUGUGUAAAAGGACUGUCACCACCUGCUGGCACACAGUGGAACUGCAACCCAGCUGUAUCAAGCACUGAAAUUUGUCCCCAAUGAAGGACAGUUGGGGUGAGGGAAGCUGUGGAUGGAGGGAUAUGGAAAAUUCUGUUAAAAUGAACAUUUUUACUCCUAAUACAGAAACAUUCACGCCAA